rnacentral:rRNA from 1 species
GAUGAACGCUGGCGGCGUGCUUAACACAUGCAAGUCGAACGAUGAAGCCCAGCUUGCUGGGUGGAUUAGUGGCGAACGGGUGAGUAACACGUGAGUAACCUGCCCUUAACUCUGGGAUAAGCCUGGGAAACUGGGUCUAAUACCGGAUAGGAGCGCCUACCGCAUGGUGGGUGUUGGAAAGAUUUAUCGGUUUUGGAUGGACUCGCGGCCUAUCAGCUUGUUGGUGAGGUAAUGGCUCACCAAGGCGAUGACGGGUAGCCGGCCUGAGAGGGUGACCGGCCACACUGGGACUGAGACACGGCCCAGACUCCUACGGGAGGCAGCAGUGGGGAAUAUUGCACAAUGGGCGGAAGCCUGAUGCAGCGACGCCGCGUGAGGGAUGACGGCCUUCGGGUUGUAAACCGCUUUCAGUAGGGAAGAAGCGAGAGUGACGGUACCUGCAGAAGAAGCACCGGCUAACUACGUG